rnacentral:rRNA from 1 species
AUUGAACGCUGGCGGCAUGCCUUACACAUGCAAGUCGAACGGCAGCACGGGUGCUUGCACCUGGUGGCGAGUGGCGAACGGGUGAGUAAUACAUCGGAACAUGUCCUGUAGUGGGGGAUAGCCCGGCGAAAGCCGGAUUAAUACCGCAUACGAUCUACGGAUGAAAGCGGGGGACCUUCGGGCCUCGCGCUAUAGGGUUGGCCGAUGGCUGAUUAGCUAGUUGGUGGGGUAAAGGCCUACCAAGGCGACGAUCAGUAGCUGGUCUGAGAGGACGACCAGCCACACUGGGACUGAGACACGGCCCAGACUCCUACGGGAGGCAGCAGUGGGGAAUUUUGGACAAUGGGCGAAAGCCUGAUCCAGCAAUGCCGCGUGUGUGAAGAAGGCCUUCGGGUUGUAAAGCACUUUUGUCCGGAAAGAAAUCCUUGGCCCUAAUACGGUCGGGGGAUGACGGUACCGGAAGAAGAAGCACCGGCUAACUACG